GGGGCAUCAGUUUCUUCAACAAGCAACUUCAAUAAAGUUUCACCAACCUUCACUAUAUCACCAGGAGUAAAGAGAAUCUGAUGAACCUUUCCUUUGAAUCGACUUGUAAUUUCAAUAGUUGCUUUAUCACUCUGUACUUCACAAAGACGUUGAAAUUCUUCUACAUUAUCAUUCUCUUCCACGAACCAUUUUAGCAGCUCGCAUUCCGCGAUCCCCUCGCCAGUCUGCGCCAGGGGCACGUCCACCACCGCCCCGGCCGGCGGAUCAAUCCACGCCAGGCUCGACAGCGGCCGCCGCACCGCAGCGCCGCCCAAUUCCACCAACUGGGGCAGCGCCGGUUUCGAGCGGAGGUACGGUAAUUGUGGCGGAAGAGGCGGGGCGAUUGAAGGCCGCAGGGCUGCAAUGGCGCCGCGGGAGUGGCGAAGAAGGCGUCUCCAGGCCAUGGGGAUUGGGGGGAUCCGGU
rnacentral:misc_RNA from 1 species